UCCGUAGGUGAACCUGCGGAAGGAUCAUUAAAGAUUAUGAAUGAAUAGAUUGCUGGGGGAAUCGUCUGAACAAGGCCUGCGCUUAAUUGCGCGGCCAGUUCUUGAUUCUCUGCUAUCAGUUUUCUAUUUCUCAUCCUAAACACAAUGGAGUUCUUUCUCUAUGAACUACUUCCCUGGAGAGCUCGUCUCUCCAGUGGACAUAAACACAAACAAUAUUUUGUAUUAUGAAAAACUAUUAUACUAUAAAAUUUAAUAUUCAAAACUUUCAACAACGGAUCUCUUGGUUCUCGCAUCGAUGAAGAACGCAGCGAAUUGCGAUGUGUAUUGUGAAUUGCAGAUUUUCGUGAAUCAUCAAAUCUUUGAACGCACAUUGCGCCCUCUGGUAUUCCAGGGGGCAUGCCUGUUUGAGCGUCAUUUCUCUCUCAAACCUUUGGGUUUGGUAGUGAGUGAUACUCGGCUCGGGUUAACUUGAAAGUGGCUAGCCGUUGCCAUCUGCGUGAGCAGGGCUGCGUGUCAAGUCUAUGGACUCGACUCUUGCACAUCUACGUCUUAGGUUUGCGCCAAUUCGUGGUAAGCUUGGGUCAUAGAGACUCAUAGGUGUUAUAAAGACUCGCUGGUGUUUGUCUCCUUGAGGCAUACGGCUUUAACCAAAACUCUCAAAGUUUGACCUCAAAUCAGGUAGGAGUACCCGCUGAACUUAAGCAUAUCAAUAAGCGGAGGA
rnacentral:rRNA from 1 species